UACGUAGGGUGCAAGCGUUAAUCGGAAUUACUGGGCGUAAAGCGUGCGCAGGCGGUUUUGUAAGUCUGACGUGAAAUCCCCGGGCUCAACCUGGGAAUUGCGUUGGAGACUGCAAGGCUGGAGUCUGGCAGAGGGGGGUAGAAUUCCACGUGUAGCAGUGAAAUGCGUAGGGAUGUGGAGGAACACCGAUGGCGAAGGCAGCCCCCUGGGUCAAGACUGACGCUCAUGCACGAAAGCGUGGGGAGCAAACAGG
rnacentral:rRNA from 1 species